rnacentral:rRNA from 1 species
AAAUUGAAGAGUUUGAUCAUGGCUCAGAUUGAACGCUGGCGGCAGGCCUAACACAUGCAAGUCGAACGGUAGCACAGAGAGCUUGCUCUCGGGUGACGAGUGGCGGACGGGUGAGUAAUGUCUGGGAAACUGCCUGAUGGAGGGGGAUAACUACUGGAAACGGUGGCUAAUACCGCAUAACGUCGCAAGACCAAAGAGGGGGACCUUCGGGCCUCUUGCCAUCAGAUGUGCCCAGAUGGGAUUAGCUAGUUGGUGAGGUAACGGCUCACCAAGGCGACGAUCCCUAGCUGGUCUGAGAGGAUGACCAGCCACACUGGAACUGAGACACGGUCCAGACUCCUACGGGA